GCCUCCAUUUGUCAUAUUGGGAUCAGAGAAUCCACAUUACAUGUACAUACAUCAUCUAGCAAACAUACAAACGAACUUUAAUCAAAUAAUGUAUGGAGAAAAAAGAAAAAAAAAAAAGGAAAAAUAGAAAAGCGAAAGUAGAACCACCUAGAUUGAAACCUUCCACACCCCUUUUCCUAUUAAUAUUAUCAACAAACCAAACAAAACAAAAACGCUCUACAUACAUCGAUCAUCAUCGAAUCUCCCAUUCUCCCACCUACUACUAGUGCCACUCACACCGCUACAUUUACCACAUACAAAUGCAUGCAUGCCGAUCGUCAUCAAUUGAUCAGCUAGCGAUCAUCAGUCCUUCCACGAUCCACCCACCGAAU
rnacentral:lncRNA from 1 species